AUCGCGUCUCGGCCUUUUGGCUAAGAUCAAGUGUAGUAUCUGUUCUUAUCAGUUUAAUGCCUGAUACGUCCUCUUUCCGAGGACAAUAUAUUAGUGGAAUAGGAGCUUGCUCCGUCCACUCUGCGCAUCGACACGGUAUUGCAGUACCUCCGGGAAUGGUACACACACA
rnacentral:snRNA from 1 species